rnacentral:sRNA from 1 species
UCGUGCAGGUCGGGACAAAUGUAGUGGACGUGGGCAUCAAUGGCACCUGCGGUCACAAUAAAUUUUUCGCCGGCAAUCACCUCCGUGCACGAGCCCACCACCAAGUUGGGAUCGACACCGUCCAUGAUGGCCGGAUUGCCUGCUUUUCCGAUGCCCACGAUGUGUCCGUUCCUGAUACCGAUAUCGGCCUUGACAAUGCCCCACCAGUCGACGAUGAGCGCGUUGAUGACGACGACAUCGAGAACAGCGCUGUCCGCACGACCUGAGGCUUGACCCAUUCCGUCACGCAA